rnacentral:lncRNA from 1 species
GCGCAGAACGCGGCGGUCAGCUGCGCCCGGCCUGAAGUUGUCCCAACCGCGGCCGCGUCGGUCGCCCUUUUGACUUGCAGCAGGGCGGGCAGAGCGACUUAGAGGAAAAGUGACUUUUUGUACCCUCCUGCAGGGAGCAGGUUCUCUGUCCUUGUUUAAUUAGACAUUUCUCAGAGAAUCCUGCCUCUGCUCUGAAGCCUUUCUGUUCGCUCCAGUGAAAAUUAGUCAUCCACCGGGCGCGGUGGCUCACGCCUGCAAUCCCAGCACUUUGGGAGGCCGAGAUUCUCCUCAACCAUGAUGAAUAAUGCCUGGGAGAGGGGAAGAAGUAAUGGAAGCCUGCACGGGUGGCCCCAAGGCAGGCAGUCCUUGGACUCCCUGGACUGCGGCUGUCCUUGACCUCACUGCUGGGGCAUGUAAAAGGAACGACUCAGAGUCUAACAGGCCACAGUCUGGGCUUGAUGUUCACCGAUUUUCCCUCAGCUCCGACUGUGGCUCCUCUCAGCUGACUCUGACCCUGCUCUCAGCCGGGCUGCAUCUGCCCAGCUCAGCACAUCAAUAAACAGCAGAGGGAAACUACCACCUUGGAAGGAGCCAGGCAGUUUCUGCUGGGCAGGCCGCAGCCCGGAGCAUGGAAGUAGCUUCUUCCAUCCUACGCUGGAAACCACCCAGCAUCCCGGGCCCUCCAGAGAGGAGCCAGACUCUCUUCCCUGGGAAGAGACUAUAGUCCUAUCUGUAUCCUCCAUGGUCAUUGCCCCUCAGUCACAGCAAUGAGGAGCAAAUUACCUGUUUUCUGUAUGUUCCUCUGACAACAACUGCCACAGAGUAAAUAUGAAAGGUUCUGGAUGAUUCCUUGUCAGCUUUUAUUAAAAUUCCACAUACUUGGCA